UAGUGGACUGCAGAGUGGGUGAAAAAGGACAGAACAAUAAAUGAUAACCCGCGUAAAACUCCCUCUCUUCUUUUCAAUUUUCAGGAGCUUGUACCUUCUAUACCUUCUCUCUCGCCUUUUACGUUUCUAAGACUCUCUCCCUUCUUUUCUUUUCUUUUCAAGAGCUUCUUCACCUGCUCUCUCUCCUCUUUUGCGUUUUCAUUUUACCAUUGAAAGAUGCAGAGGUGCUCUUUCACGCUUCCGAUCACUCAGUACUUCGAGUGCUCCAAACAAGCUGGUCCGCUCUUACUACUCUUCUUCUUCUUCCGGGGAGUGUGGUCGUCCGCAGCCACAUGUCAUUUCUGGUUUGUCUGAAGAGAGACAUCAACGUCGUCAUCGUCAUCCUAGUGCUGCUCCUCUUGGUGUUCCUCCUCGAAAGGUAAGAGUGAGGGAAAAGUGACUUGCGCAUGUCAAGGAGCCAAGAAAGCAAUCUAGAACGUGCAACGGUGACUCCACAGAACCGUCAAAGGAAUAGCGCUACGAGUAACUGGCUCGCAACAAGAUCAACAAGACUGUCAAUAAGAAACAGAAAGAUCGACUCAUUUUUUUUUCUCUGUUCUCACACUCUAUCUUCCCCUCUCUCUUCUUGGCUUCUUGUGCUGGGGUGUGUGGUAUAGAAAUGAGUUUCCGUCA